AAGUGACUAAUCUCGUUGGUUGAGGCAAUAUUGGUCAAAUUAACUGUGACAUUGGUAACUAUUAAACAAACAAAUUGGUUAUCUAACAACUAAUAUCAUUGGUUAAGAACAAAUUGGUUGAUUUAACAAAGAUAUUGGUUAACUUUAAUAACAGAUUGGUUGAAAAAUGACUAAUAUCAUUGGUUAAGCAAAUGUUAACUAAGAGAUUGGUAACUGACGCAGGUCUGACGCUCAACGUCAAGUACGUAACUCUGCUUCUCAAUUUUCUGACAAAGCCGCCAUCUUGGUGCUGCAGGAAAGCCGUUUGAGAUAUUGGUGGAAUUCAAACACUUUGUGAGAUGACAGAAUAUUGCUGAAGGAUCCUACAUGGAAGCUGGCUGAUUACACGGAGUGAUUCCUCUGGUGUGGUGUACCUCAGAGAAAUAAACACUGUUGCAAGAGCUGAGAAGAUGGCCAAGAUAUCCUUAUUGCUGGAUGGUAGCUCUGGUCGUAGUGGACCAUAUCUGCAAAUGCUUCUGAACAUUGACAGAAUUUCUAAAGAUGACUGAGAAUAUUACUGAAGGAUCCUACAUGGAAGCUGUCUGAUUACACUGAGUGAUUCCUCUGGUGUGGUGUACCUCAGAGAAAAUAAACACUGUUGCAAGA